rnacentral:rRNA from 1 species
UACGGAGGGUGCGAGCGUUGUCCGGAAUCACUGGGCGUAAAGGGUUCGUAGGCGGUGUGGCAAGUCGGGAGUGAAAUCUCUGGGCUCAACCCAGAGUCUGCUUCCGAAACUGCUGUGCUUGAGUGUGGGAGAGGCGCGUGGAAUUGCAGGUGUAGCGGUGAAAUGCGUAGAUAUCUGCAGGAACACCCGUGGCGAAAGCGGCGCGCUGGACCACUACUGACGCUGAGGAACGAAAGCUAGGGGAGCAAACAGG